AACGAACGCUGGCGGCAGGCUUAACACAUGCAAGUCGAACGCCCCGCACGGGGAGUGGCAGACGGGUGAGUAACGCGUGGCAAUCUACCGUACCCUACGGAACAACAGUUGGAAACGACUGCUAAUACCGUAUACGCCCUUAGGGGGAAAGACUUAUCGGGGUAUGGUGAGCCCGCGUUGGAUUAGAUAGUUGGUGGGGUAAAGGCCUACCAGGGCGACGAUCCAUAGCUGGUCUGAGAGGAUGAUCAGCCACAUUGGGACUGAGAAUCGGCCCAAGCGCCUACGGGGGGCAGCAGUGGAGAAUAUUAAAGAAUGGGCGGAAGACUGAUCCGGCCAUGCCGCGGGGGUGAUGAAGGUCUUAGGAUUGUUGAGUUCUUUCACCGAUGAAGAUAAUGACGGUAGUCGGGGAAGAAGCCCCGGCUAACUUCGUGCCAGCCGCCGCCGUAA
rnacentral:rRNA from 1 species